rnacentral:rRNA from 1 species
UAAGGCUGUCCUAUAUCUUGUUAUCAAUAAAAUAAUUAAAUAAUUAGUAUUAUUUAGAACGUUUUGUUAUUUAUUUACUGUAAAGGAUUAUGGCAAUUUUAUAAAAGAAACAAUUAAUAUGUGUACCUUGUGUAUUAGGGGCUAUUAAAAUAAGAACUAAGGUUAGUUUUCCCGAAAUAUUUGUGGGCUAGGGCUUAAUUUUAUUAAUGUAGCAUAAUUAAUGUUAAUUUAGCUCUAGGGAUGACAUAUUAUUCAAACAAUAAGAUUUCUGGUUCUUUAAGAUUUAAUUUAAUUAGGGUUGAGACUAGGUAUAUGUCUUAAUUAAUAUUUGUAAGAGGAUAAGCUCUUAUAAGUACUCAUAUACGCGGUUGUUGCUUAAACAACUUAGAUUUAAUAUUGAUCUAGUUUUUACAAUGUUAUGAUGAAGUUUUAUUUGUUAUUUAUUUGUGUUUAUGUUAUGUGUUUAAUUAAAGUGUGUUGAUAAUAAAGAUUAAAUAGCAAUAAUGAUAGUAUUAGUAGUAAAUUAUUUAUCAUAGUUAGUAUAUUGUUAUUUAGCUUUAAGGAAUUAGGCAAAUAAGACUUUCGCCUGUUUAGCAAAAACAUGGUUUUUUGGUUUUAUAUAAAAAAUCAGACCUGCCCACUGAAAGUAUUGAAGGGCUGCAGUAUUUUGACUGUACAAAGGUAGCAUAAUCAUUAGUCUCUUAAUUAGGGGCUGGUAUGAAAGGUUUGACGGAGGACGACUGUCUCAAAUGCUAAUUAAUGAAUUUUAUUUUUAAGGAAAAGAGCUUAAAUUUUACAAUGGGACGAGAAGACCCUAUUAAAUUUUACUUUUUGUUAAGUAAUAUAUUGGUUUAAUAAAAUUUUUAGUUUAAAAAAAGUUUUACUGGGGCGGUAGAUAAUCGGCAUUAUUUAAAUUUAAUAAACUAUUUGACGGUAUGUUUGAUCCAUUAAGGGUGAUAAUAAGAAUAAGUUACUAUAGGGAUAACAGCGUAAUAUUUUUUGAGAGUUCAUAUUGACAAAAAUGUUUGCGACCUCGAUGUUGGAUUAAGAAUUCUUAUUGAUGCAGUAGUUGAUAUAGAAGGUCUGUUCGACCUUUAAAUUCUUACAUGAUCUGAGUUCAGACCGGCGUGAGCCAGGUCGGUUUCUAUCUUUUGUUAGAAAAUUUUAAAUUAGUACGAAAGGACCAUUUAAUAUAAAAUUUUUAUUUUUUAGUGAAUUAAUUAAAUUUUUAUGAACGUAGAAGCUUU